CUUAUAGAAGAAUACGACAUACAGAAAAAUAUAUAUUCUGCAAAGAAAACACAGUUAUGUAGGGAACCUUUCCAUCCCCAGUCUGGACCCAGGCUUGUACUCAUAAAUCCUGGCUGCCUUCACAGCAUCAACCUAUAAUUUUUUGUCCACCUCGACUUAUGAAUUAUCAAGAGCUCUCUUAGAUUAUCUGCCUUUUAGCAGGGGCUGAGGAUUAUUAAUAUUCCAGCCUAUAUUUAGAAUUGGCAAAUGCCAUUAAGGGACCUGUGAGAGAAAGCCGGGGAAGCAGAACCCUU
rnacentral:lncRNA from 10 species